UUCGGUUGAUCCUGCCGGAGGCUACCGCUAUUGGAGUUCGAUUAAGCCAUGCGAGUCGCGAGUCUUAGGGACUCGGCGUACCGCUCAGUAACACGUGGGUAACCUGCCCUAUGCUGGGGGAUAACCUCGGGAAACUGAGAAUAAUACCCCAUAGUUCACCACGCCUGGAACGGUGGGUGGAUGAAAGCUCCGGCGGCAUAGGAUGGGCCUGCGGCGUAUCAGGUUGUAGGGGGUGUAAUGUACCCUCUAGCCAUCUACGCGUACGGGUGUUGGGAGACAUCGCCCGGAGAUGGAUUCUGAGACACGAAUCCAGACCCUACGGGGUGCAGCAGGCGCGAAAACUUGGCAAUGCGAGCAAUCGUGACCAGGGAACUCCAAGUGCAUCGGGUAAGACCGAUGCUUUUCUUGACUCUUCAAAGGUCUUGGAAUAAGGGGUGGGUAAGGACGGUGCCAGCCGCCGCGGUAAUACCGGCGCCUCAAGUGGUAGUCGCUUUUAUUGGGCCUAAAACGUCCGUAGCCGGUUUGGUACAUUCGUGGGUAAAUCAAGGCGCUCAACGUCUUGAAUUCUGCGAGCACGGCCAGACUUGGGACCGGGUGAGGUGUGGGGUACUCUCAGGGUAGGGGUAAAAUCCUGUCAUCCUGAGAGGACCACCUGUUGCGAAGGCGCCACACUAGAACGGAUCCGACGGUCAGGGACGAAGCCUAGGGGCACGAACCGGAUUAGAUACCCGGGUAGUCCUAGGUGUAAACGCUGUGGACUUGAUGUUGGGAGUGCUCCGAGCACCCUCAGUGUCGAAGCGAAGGUGAUAAGUCCACUGCCUGGGGAGUACGGUCGCAAGGCUGAAACUUAAAGGAAUUGGCGGGGGAGCACUGCAACCUGAGGAUUGUGCGGUUUAAUUGGAUUCAACGCCGGA
rnacentral:rRNA from 1 species